AACGAACGCUGGCGGCAGGCCUAACACAUGCAAGUCGAGCGAGGACUUCGGUUCUAGCGGCGGACGGGUGAGUAACGCGUGGGAAUGUGCCCUUCUCUACGGAAUAGCCCUGGGAAACUGGGAGUAAUACCGUAUACGCCCUAUUGGGGAAAGAUUUAUCGGAGAAGGAUCAGCCCGCGUUGGAUUAGGUAGUUGGUGGGGUAAUGGCCUACCAAGCCGACGAUCCAUAGCUGGUUUGAGAGGAUGAUCAGCCACACUGGGACUGAGACACGGCCCAGACUCCUACGGGAGGCAGCAGUGGGGAAUCUUAGACAAUGGGGGCAACCCUGAUCUAGCCAGGCCGCGUGAGUGAUGAAGGCCUUAGGGUUGUAAAGCUCUUUCAGCUGGGAAGAUAAUGACGGUACCAGCAGAAGAAGCCCCGGCUAACUCCGUGC
rnacentral:rRNA from 1 species